rnacentral:rRNA from 1 species
AGAGUUUGAUCCUGGCUCAGGACGAGUACGCCAACCUGGCCCAGCAGUAUGCCAGCAGCCGCGGUAAAGGAUGGGCAUGCGUGACAUUAGCUAGUUGGGGGGGUAACGGCCCACCAAGGCUACGAUGUCUAGGGGUUCUGAGAGGAAGAUCCCCCACACUGGUACUGAGACACGGACCAGACUCCUACGGGAGGCAGCAGUGAGGAAUAUUGGUCAAUGGGCGCGAGCCUGAACCAGCCAUCCCGCGUGCAGGAAGAAUGCCCUAUGGGUUGUAAACUGCUUUUGCGCAUGAAUAAAUGUACCCUCGUGAGGGUAUUUGAAGGUAAUGCGUGAAUAAGCACCGGCUAACUCCGUGCCAGCAGCCGCGGUAAA